GACGGAGGAUGCAAGCGUUAUCCGGAUUCAUUGGGUUUAAAGGGAGCGUAGGUGGCCUUAUAAGUCAGUGGUGAAAUCUUCGAGCUUAACUCGGAAAUUGCCAUUGAUACUGUAGGGCUUGAGUAUAGUUGCCGUUGGCGGAAUAUGACAUGUAGUGGUGAAAUACAUAGAGAUGUCAUAGAACACCGAUUGCGAAGGCAGCUGACGAAACUAUAACUGACACUGAGGCUCGAAAGUGCGGGGAUCAAACAGG
rnacentral:rRNA from 1 species